CUUGAGGAUGGGUCGUGGGUCUGAAGAAAACAGGGGGGAACCCGAGUUUUUGUAUCAGACAGAUUUCCAGCUUUCAAGCUCUUCCGGGAAUGGCCAUUGUGGAGGAAAAGGAAACCUACCUGCGAGCUUCUAUUUCUUCAGAGGUGCCUCAGAACAUAGUAUUGUGAAACUAUGGCUGGAAAUGGCGUUUAAAAGUUUGUUUCUUCAAGGUUUUAUAAGCUCUGGAGAUGUCAGAGCUGCGACACCUGUUGAGCUGCGCAGUCCAGUCGUUUACCUGACCAAAAUGAUGGGUGACCCGACAGCUACCAGUCUGAAGAAGAAGAAAACAACACUCACCAAGCCAGAUCAGACUGCCAAAGAGAGUCUGGAUUGGAUUAUAUGAUGAUGUGAACAGCUGCAGGUGGUCCAUCAGACUCAGACUUCUACCAACAAGAUGAGAAGAAAUUCAGAAAGCGGUCUUUUACACAGCCAGACAGUUUUUAUGGACUGCAGAGAACUGCGGAGAGAUGUUUCCUGAUGGAACCUGGAAUGAAGAGGCUUGUUCUAAAACGCAACAUUCAAUCUGCUCAGAUAUUAGCGAUAAGACUUUUAACUGAUGACUGACCUCUAAAUUAAAACACCUAAGAUGUUUUACUUUGGUCUCUCUACCAAAGAUGAGAAAUGUAUCAUUUUGCUUUUUCCAAAUUAUUAAAUGUUAGAGCUUGAAUAAG